rnacentral:tRNA from 1 species
GUGACCGUAGUUCAGUUGGUUAGAGCGUCAGAUUGUGGUUCUGAAUGUCGUGGGUUCGAAUCCCAUCGGUCACCCA